UUAACAAGUUAAAUGGACAGAUUCCAGACUCUCUUUUCAACAUUAGCUCACUCUCUUAUCUUAACUUGGUUGGCAACAACUUUACAAUGAAUGGCUCAAACAACAGUAUUAUUUGAGGUCAGGGGGAUGUAAAUUUGGAAAAGCGUGUAAAUAUAACCACACUAGAGG